CCAUCAUGUAACACGCGGUGCCUUGUGAGAUCAAGCCUAAUGUUUGUACAGUGAUACAAACUUCACACAAACACACAAUCCAUCCUCCUUCCUGUAAGGUGAAACGGUUAAAUUGCAGUGUGCAUAGAGAGAUGUGAAGAGAGGACAAUGUGUGUGACUCAGGACAAUAAAGGUCAUAUCAUCUUGGCUGAAAGUAACCUGGGGAUUGCCCUAGCAAUUCCCAGUACACAGAUUUCUACACAUUGUUGAUUAAUUAAAGGGAAAUCGCCCCCAAAACAUUUAUG